rnacentral:rRNA from 1 species
AUUGAACGCUGGCGGCAGGCCUAACACAUGCAAGUCGAACGAGUGGCGGACGGGUGAGUAAUUUCUGGGAACCUGCCUGAUGUAGGGGGAUAACUACUGGAAACGGUAGCUACUACCGCAUACCAUCGGAUGUGCCCAGAUUGGAUUAGCUAGUCGGUGGGGUAACGGCUCACCUAGGCGACGAUCCCUAGCUGGUCUGAGAGGAUGACCAGCCACACUGGAACUGAGACACGGUCCAGACUCCUACGGGAGGCAGCAGUGGGGAAUAUUGGGCAAUGGGCGAAAGUCUGAUGCAGCCAUGCCGCGUGUAUGAAGAAGGCCUUCGGGUUGUAAAGUACUUGCAGCGGGGAGGCGUUACCCGCAGAAGAAGCAACGGCUAACUCCGUGCCAGCAGCCGCGGUAAUAC